rnacentral:rRNA from 2 species
AUUCCGGGAUAGCCUUUCGAAAGAAAGAUUAAUACUGGAUAGCAUAACGAGAAGGCAUCUUCUUGUUAUUAAAGAAUUUCGAUAAUCGAUGGGGAUGCGUUCCAUUAGUUUGUUGGCGGGGUAACGGCCCACCAAGACAUCGAUGGAUAGGGGUUCUGAGAGGAAGGUCCCCCACAUUGGAACUGAGACACGGUCCAAACUCCUACGGGAGGCAGCAGUGAGGAAUAUUGGUCAAUGGACGAGAGUCUGAACCAGCCAAGUAGCGUGAAGGAUGACUGCCCUAUGGGUUGUAAACUUCUUUUAUAUGGGAAUAAAGUGCAGUAUGUAUACUGUUUUGUAUGUACCAUACGAAUAAGGAUCGGCUAACUCCGUGCCAGCAGCCGCGGUAAUACGGAGGAUCCGAGCGUUAUCCGGAUUUAUUGGGUUUAAAGGGAGCGUAGGCGGAUUAUUAAGUCAGUUGUGAAAGUUUGCGGCUCAACCGUAAAAUUGCAGUUGAUACUGGUAGUCUUGAGUGCAGCAGAGGUAGGCGGAAUUCGUGGUGUAGCGGUGAAAUGCUUAGAUAUCACGAAGAACUCCGAUUGCGAAGGCAGCUUACUGGACUGUAACUGACGCUGAUGCUCGAAAGUGUGGGUAUCAAACAGGAUUAGAUACCCUGGUAGUCCACACAGUAAACGAUGAAUACUCGCUGUUUGCGAUAUACAGCAAGCGGCCAAGCGAAAGCAUUAAGUAUUCCACCUGGGGAGUACGCCGGCAACGGUGAAACUCAAAGGAAUUGACGGGGGCCCGCACAAGCGGAGGAACAUGUGGUUUAAUUCGAUGAUACGCGAGGAACCUUACCCGGGCUUAAAUUGCAACUGACGGAUUUGGAAACAGAUCUUCCUUCGGGCAGUUGUGAAUUGCGAAGGCGGUUUACUGCAGCUCGUGCCGUGAGGUGUCGGCUUAAGUGCCAUAACGAGCGCAACCCUUAUCUUUAGUUACUAACAGGUCAUGCUGAGGACUCUAGAGAGACUGCCGUCGUAAGAUGUGAGGAAGGUGGGGAUGACGUCAAAUCAGCACGGCCCUUACGUCCGGGGCUACACACGUGUUACAAUGGGGGGUACAGAAGGCAGCUACACAGCGAUGUGAUGCUAAUCCCAAAAGCCUCUCUCAGUUCGGAUUGGAGUCUGCAACCCGACUCCAUGAAGCUGGAUUCGCUAGUAAUCGCGCAUCAGCCACGGCGCGGUGAAUACGUUCCCGGGCCUUGUACACACCGCCCGUCAAGCCAUGAAAGCCGGGGGUACCUGAAGUACGUAACCGCAA